GUGCCAGCCGCCGCGGUAAUACGGAGGGGGCUAGCGUUGUUCGGAAUUACUGGGCGUAAAGCGCGCGUAGGUGGCUUUGUAAGUUAGAGGUGAAAGCCCGGAGCUCAACUCCGGAAUUGCCUUUAAGACUGCAUCGCUAGAACGUCGGAGAGGUAAGUGGAAUUCCGAGUGUAGAGGUGAAAUUCGUAGAUAUUCGGAAGAACACCAGUGGCGAAGGCGACUUACUGGACGACUGUUGACACUGAGGUGCGAAAGCGUGGGGAGCAAACAGGAUUAGAAACCCCUGUAGUCC
rnacentral:rRNA from 1 species